CCCUUAGAUGUUCUGGGAUGCACGCGCGUUACACUGAUUCGUUCAACGAGUUUAUGACCUUGCCUGAUGAGGUGGGGGAAUCUUUUCAAAUCGCAUCUUGAUGGGGAUAGAGUAUUGUAACUGUUAGUCUUCAACGAGGAAUUCCUAGUAAGUACGUGUCAUCAGCUCGUACUGAUUAUGUCCCUGCCCUUUGUACACACCGCCCGUCGCUCCUACCGAUUGAGUGCUCAGGUGAAUAGUAUGGACUGCAUCAGUGUUCGGUCUCCGAAUGUUGACGCGAGAAAUUCUGUGAAUCUUAUUGCUUAGAGGAAGGAGAAGUCGUAACA
rnacentral:rRNA from 1 species